UGUUUCGGCUAGGGGGCCAUCCCGGCUUACCAACCCGAUGCAAACUGCGAAUACCGGAGAAUGUUAUCACGGGAGACACACGGCGGGUGCUAACGUCCGUCGUGAAGAGGGAAACAACCCAGACCGCCAGCUAAGGUCCCAAAGUCAUGGUUAAGUGGGAAACGAUGUGGGAAGGCCCAGACAGCCAGGAUGUUGGCUUAGAAGCAGCCAUCAUUUAAAGAAAGCGUAAUAGCUCACUGGUCGAGUCGGCCUGCGCGGAAGAUGUAACGGGGCUAAACCAUGCACCGAAGCUGCGGCAGCGACACUGUGUGUUGUUGGGUAGGGGAGCGUUCUGUAAGCCUGCG
rnacentral:rRNA from 1 species